rnacentral:tRNA from 1 species
GUUUCCAUAGUUGAAAACAACAGUGGCUCUUCGAGUCACAGGUCUUAGUGAGAGUCUGAGUGGGAACU